AGUGAACGCUGGCGGUAGGCCUAACACAUGCAAGUCGAACGGCAGCACAGUAAGAGCUUGCUCUUACGGGUGGCGAGUGGCGGACGGGUGAGGAAUACAUCGGAAUCUACUUUUUCGUGGGGGAUAACGUAGGGAAACUUACGCUAAUACCGCAUACGACCUACGGGUGAAAGCAGGGGAGCUUCGGACCUUGCGCGAUUGAAUGAGCCGAUGUCGGAUUAGCUAGUUGGCGGGGUAAAGGCCCACCAAGGCGACGAUCCGUAGCUGGUCUGAGAGGAUGAUCAGCCACACUGGAACUGAGACACGGUCCAGACUCCUACGGGAGGCAGCAGUGGGGAAUAUUGGACAAUGGGCGCAAGCCUGAUCCAGCCAUACCGCGUGGGUGAAGAAGGCCUUCGGGUUGUAAAGCCCUUUUGUUGGGAAAGAAAAGCAGCAGGUUAAUACCCCGCUGUUCCGACGGUACCCAAAGAAUAAGCACCGGCUAACUUCGUG
rnacentral:rRNA from 1 species